UGAACAUCCCAUCCCUCUUUUCUCUCUUUAAUCGAAACUCGACUCCUUCUAUAAAACUUUCAAACAAAAUACACCUUUUAUUCGACGCUCGAAGAUUCUAUUGGAAGACUAAGUUAAAGGCGUGAUGGCUGCUUCAAUCAGAUUAAGGAACUGUUUAGGAAGUCCAUUUCCAGAGACCAAAAUGCAAGGUUGAUAUCAGACUCAAAGAGAUGGAUAUCAAUAAUGGAAGGUGGCCAGCCGUCGGUGUCCAUGAACAAGCAAUGGGAUGCGCCAAAAGUCAUUUAGCCCAUUUUCCCUCCUCCUUUUUCAAACUUUGAAAAGAUUGCACACUUUGACAUUUGCACUAACAAUGUCAAUCAUUAAGCUCAUCAAUUAGUGGAGAUGUUUCUUAAGAUCUUGGCUGUAUGAUUGCAUUUGAAAUUUGUAAGAGUUUGCUGCCUGCUUGACAUACGACUUCACAUCAAAUGGACUUAUAACUUUUUGUAUUGACAAUAAACUAAACUAUUCGGUUCU